AACGAACGCUGGCGGCAUGCCUAACACAUGCAAGUCGAACGAGACCUUCGGGUCUAGUGGCGCACGGGUGCGUAACGCGUGGGAAUCUGCCCUCUGGUUCGGAACAACAGUUGGAAACGACUGCUAAUACCGGAUAAUGACUUCGGUCCAAAGAUUUAUCGCCUGAGGAUGAGCCCGCGUAGGAUUAGCUUGUUGGUGAG
rnacentral:rRNA from 1 species